AGAGUUUGAUCCUGGCUCAGGAUGAACGCUAGCUACAGGCUUAACACAUGCAAGUCGAGGGGAAACGAUAUUGGAAGCUUGCUUCCGAUAGGCGUCGACCGGCGCACGGGUGAGUAACGCGUAUCCAACCUGCCCACCACUUGGGGAUAACCUUGCGAAAGUAAGACUAAUACCCAAUGACGUCUCUAGAAGACAUCUGAAAGAGAUUAAAGAUUUAUCGGUGAUGGAUGGGGAUGCGUCUGAUUAGCUUGUUGGCGGGGUAACGGCCCACCAAGGCGACGAUCAGUAGGGGUUCUGAGAGGAAGGUCCUCCACAUUGGAACUGAGACACGGUCCAAACUCCUACGGGAGGCAGCAGUGAGGAAUAUUGGUCAAUGGGCGAGAGCCUGAACCAGCCAAGUAGCGUGCAGGAUGACGGCCCUAUGGGUUGUAAACUGCUUUUAUAAGGGAAUAAAGUGAGUCUCGUGAGACUUUUUGCAUGUACCUUAUGAAUAAGGACCGGCUAAUUCCGUGCCAGCAGCCGCGGUAAUACGGAAGGUCCGGGCGUUAUCCGGAUUUAUUGGGUUUAAAGGGAGCGUAGGCCGGAGAUUAAGCGUGUUGUGAAAUGUAGAUGCUCAACAUCUGCACUGCAGCGCGAACUGGUUUCCUUGAGUACGCACAAAGUGGGCGGAAUUCGUGGUGUAGCGGUGAAAUGCUUAGAUAUCACGAAGAACUCCGAUUGCGAAGGCAGCUCACUGGAGCGCAACUGACGCUGAAGCUCGAAAGUGCGGGUAUCGAACAGGAUUAGAUACCCUGGUAGUCCGCACGGUAAACGAUGGAUGCCCGCUGUUGGUCUGAAUAGGUCAGCGGCCAAGCGAAAGCAUUAAGCAUCCCACCUGGGGAGUACGCCGGCAACGGUGAAACUCAAAGGAAUUGACGGGGGCCCGCACAAGCGGAGGAACAUGUGGUUUAAUUCGAUGAUACGCGAGGAACCUUACCCGGGCUUGAAUUGCAGAGGAAGGAUUUGGAGACAAUGACGCCCUUCGGGGUCUCUGUGAAGGUGCUGCAUGGUUGUCGUCAGCUCGUGCCGUGAGGUGUCGGCUUAAGUGCCAUAACGAGCGCAACCCCUCUCCUUAGUUGCCAUCAGGUCAAGCUGGGCACUCUGGGGACACUGCCACCGUAAGGUGUGAGGAAGGUGGGGAUGACGUCAAAUCAGCACGGCCCUU
rnacentral:rRNA from 1 species